GGUGGGUAGUUUGACUGGGGCGGUCUCCUCCCAAAGAGUAACGGAGGAGCACGAAGGUGGGCUAAUCACGGUUGGACAUCGUGAGGUUAGUGCAAUGGCAUAAGCCCGCUUAACUGCGAGAAUGACGGUUCGAGCAGGUGCGAAAGCAGGUCAUAGUGAUCCGGUGGUUCUGUAUGGAAGGGCCAUCGCUCAACGGAUAAAAGGUACUCCGGGGAUAACAGGCUGAUACCGCCCAAGAGUUCAUAUCGACGGCGGUGUUUGGCACCUCGAUGUCGGCUCAUCACAUCCUGGGGCUGAAGUCGGUCCCAAGGGUAUGGCUGUUCGCCAUUUAAAGUGGUACGCGAGCUGGGUUUAGAACGUCGUGAGACAGUUCGGUCCCUAUCUGCCGUGGGCGUUGGAAGAUUGAAGGGGGCUGCUCCUAGUACGAGAGGACCGGAGUGGACGAACCUCUGGUGUUCGGGUUGUGUCGCCAGACGCAUUGCCCGGUAGCUAAGUUCGGAAUUGAUAAGCGCUGAAAGCAUCUAAGCGCGAAGCGAGCCCUGAGAUGAGUCUUCCCUGACAGUUUAACUGUUCUAAAGGGUUGUUCGAGACUAGAACGUUGAUAGGCAGGGUGUGUAAGCGUUGUGAGGCGUUGAGCUAACCUGUACUAAUUGCCCGUGAGGCUUAACCAU
rnacentral:rRNA from 1 species